GACAGAGGGUGCGAACGUCGCUCGGAAUUACUGGGCGUAAAGCGCGUGUAGGCGGCUUCGCGAGUCGGGUGUGAAAGCCCGGGGCUCAACCCCGGACGUGCAUUCGAUACUACGGAGCUGGAGUCCUGAAGAGGAGAGCGGAAUUCCCGGUGUAGAGGUGAAAUUCGUAGAUAUCGGGAGGAACACCAGUGGCGAAGGCG
rnacentral:rRNA from 1 species